AGCCAGACUCCUACGGGAGGCAGCAGUGGGGAAUAUUGGACAAUGGAGGAAACCCUGAUCCAGCGACGCCGCGUGAGUGAAGAAGUAUUUCGGUAUGUAAAGCUCUAUCAGCAGGGAAGAAAAUGACGGUACCCGAUUAAGAAGCCCCGGCUAACUACGUGCCAGCAGCCGCGGUAAUACGUAGGGGGCAAGCGUUAUCCGGAAUUACUGGGUGUAAAGGGAGCGUAGACGGUGAAGUAAGUCUGGAGUGAAAGGCGGGGGCCCAACCCCCGGACUGCUCUGGAAACUAUUUGACUGGAGUGCAGGAGAGGUAAGCGGAAUUCCUAGUGUAGCGGUGAAAUGCGUAGAUAUUAGGAGGAACACCAGUGGCGAAGGCGGCUUACUGGACUGUAACUGACGUUGAGGCUCGAAAGCGUGGGGAGCAAACAGGAUUAGAUACCCUGGUAGA
rnacentral:rRNA from 1 species